rnacentral:rRNA from 1 species
GACGAACGCUGGCGGCGUGCUUAACACAUGCAAGUCGAGCGGAAAGGCCACUUCGGUGGUACUCGAGCGGCGAACGGGUGAGUAACACGUGAGUAAUCUGCCCUUGGCUUUGGGAUAGCCACCGGAAACGGUGAUUAAUACCGGAUAUGACCACUCUAGGCAUCUAGUGGUGGUGGAAAGUUUUUCGGCCAGGGAUGUGCUCGCGGCGUAUCAGCUUGAUGGUGAGGUAAUGGCUCACCAUGGCUUCGACGGGUAGCCGGCCUGAGAGGGUGACCGGUCACACUGGGACUGGGACACGGCCCAGACUCCAACGGGAGGAAGCAGUGGGGAAUAUUGGACAAUGGGCGGAAGCCUGAUCCAGCAACGCCGCGUGAGGGAUGACGGCCUUCGGGUUGUAAACCUCUUUCAGCAGGGACGAAGCGCGAGUGACGGUACCUGCAGAAGAAGCACCGGCCAACUACGUGCCAGCCGCCGCCGUAA